rnacentral:rRNA from 1 species
AACGAACGCUGGCGGCAUGCCUAACACAUGCAAGUCGAACGAGAUCUUCGGGUCUAGUGGCGCACGGGUGCGUAACGCGUGGGAAUCUGCCCUUUGGUUCGGAAUAACAGUUGGAAACGACUGCUAAUACCGGACGAUGACGAAAGUCCAAAGAUUGAUCGCCAGAGGAUGAGCCCGCGUAGGAUUAGCUAGUUGGUGUGGUAAAGGCGCACCAAGGCGACGAUCCUUAGCUGGUCUGAGAGGAUGAUCAGCCACACUGGGACUGAGACACGGCCGAGACUCCUACGGAAGGCAGCAGUGGGGGAUAUGGGCCAGUGGGCGAAAGCCUGGGUCAGCAAUGCCGCGUGAGUGAUGGGGGCCAUAGGGUUGGAAAGCUCUUUUGGCCGGGAGAAUAAUGACGUUAUCCGGAGAAUACGCCCCGGCUAAGACCGUGUCAGGAGGCGCAGUAA